ACCGAUGGCAUAAUCUGUAUCUAAGGUUGGAGAUUCUGAAUUAGGUUCAGAGAAUGGCUUCUAUUGCCUUCCAGACCACCUGGUAAAGGAUGAAUAGGUGUUGGUUGCCAUCCAGAUCUCCGUCUUGGAUGCUGGGAGCAAUUCUCAAAUUGUUUGUGCAUGAAUUGACCGAUUCUCCUUUCUCUUGCAGAGUGUCUUGUUUAUCUGAGGCCUUCCCAGGAGAUGCAGUUCUGAAAUUUGUCACAGUUCUAUGGAUCUAUUAUUGUGAGAACCGAUGAUAUAUGGUGAGUUGUCUGACACCAUCAUUUCUCCUUUCUAGCGCUUGAGUUGACAAAUUUCAUGUAAUCAAAUGGAGUCCCUGCAUCUUAAGAUGUCAUCCAUUUAUCACAUGUAAUGUGUUGUUUCCCUUUUAUGCGCCAGAGUUCUUUCCUAUAUUCUGAGCAUCAAAGCCCUUUUAGAUUGUAUACUGGACAUGAUUUUAUCUACUUUAAUAUAUGCUUUAUGCGCGUCUGAAAGUGUCCACUAUGUUUAUUUGCUCCAUGAAUUUAACUGUUGUAUUUGCUAAGAAUAGUGUAAUUUUCUGGGUCACAAUUACCUUUAAACAUCAACUACGUUCUUAUUCCUAUCAACGAUCUAAGUAAAACAUGAAAAACCUGGGUUUU